rnacentral:rRNA from 1 species
AGCCUGAUGCAGCAACGCCGCGUGAGGGAUGACGGCCUUCGGGUUGUAAACCUCUUUUGGUAGGGAAGAAGCCUUCGGGUGACGGUACCUGCAGAAAAAGCGCCGGCUAACUACGUGCCAGCAGCCGCGGUAAUACGUAGG